UACGUAGGGGGCAAGCGUUGUCCGGAUUUAUUGGGCGUAAAGAGCGUGUAGGCGGCUAGAUAGGUCCGUUGUGAAAACUCGAGGCUCAACCUCGAGACGUCGAUGGAAACCAUCUGGCUAGAGUCCGGAAGAGGAGAGUGGAAUUCCUGGUGUAGCGGUGGAAUGCGUAGAGAUCCGGAAGAACACCGGUGGCGAAGGCGGUCUGCUGGGCAGUGGCUGACACUGAGGCGCGACAGCGUGGGGAGCAAACAGG
rnacentral:rRNA from 1 species